rfam:Gossypium arboreum cultivar AKA8401 contig_39959_1, whole genome shotgun sequence.
AACCCAUAAUGAGGGUACCUUUUCAACAGAUCCUUGUAUCUCUCCCAUGCAUUAUAGAGUGUUUCUAAAUCCAUCUGCACAACAAAAGAAAUAUCAUUCCUUAAUUU